AAUGAACGCUGGCGGCGUGCCUAACACAUGCAAGUCGAACGAGAAAGGCCUUCGGGCUGAGUACAGUGGCGAACGGGUGAGUAACGCGUGGGAAUCUACCCUUUAGUGAAGAAUACCCUCGAGAAAUCGAGGUUAAUACUGCAUACGCUCCUAACGGAGGAAAGAUGGCCUCUUUGCUGUCGCUAAAGGAUGAGCCUGCGUACUAUUAGCUAGUUGGUGGGGUAAUGGCCUACCAAGGCGAGGGUGGUUAGCCGGCCUGAGAGGGUGAUCGGCCACAUUGGAACUUAGACGCGGUCCAGACUCCUACGGGAGGCAGCAGUGGGGAAUAUUGCGCAAUGGGCGAAAGCCUGACGCAGCGACGCCGCGUGGAGGAUGAAGGCCUUCGGGUUGUAAACUUCUGUUAAAUGGGAUGAAAUGCGCAAGUUUAAUAGACUUGCGAGCUGACAGUACCGCUAAAGAAAGCACUGGCUAAUCUCGUGCCAGCAGCCGCCGUAAUAC
rnacentral:rRNA from 1 species